UGAGUUUAACACUUCAUGACUGAGAUCUGUCCUUCAAGACAACAGAACCCACAACAACCAUGAUCUUUAUCACCAUCUUCAUCUGGAUAUUUGCCCUCUGUCUCCAAGAAUCCAGAGGCCAGUUCACUGUAACUCAGACCCCUGCAGUGAAAGCUGUUCUCCCAGGACAGACAGUCUCUCUGAACUGUAAAACCAGCAGUGAUGUGUAUGGUGCAGGAGGCUCUUCUCCCGAACUAGCCUGGUAUCAACAGAAACCUGGAGGAGCUCCUAAACUCCUUAUUUACUAUGCUAAAACACUUCAGUCUGGGACUCCAUCUAGAUUCAGUGGCAGUGGAACUCAUAGUGACUUCACUCUGACCAUCAGUGGAGUCCAGGCUGAAGAUGCAGGAGAUUACUACUGUCAGAGUGUCCACUACCCCAACAGUGUCUGGGUGUUCACACAGUGAUACAGAGCCGUACAAAAACCUCCCUCAGUCAGACUGCACAGUGACUGUACUGCUACAGCUGGGACCUACUGCAGGUGCUGAGGGGGAAGAGACAGUGACAUGGAACACUAGAUGAAGUCAACUGUGACAUGUGACAAUAUGGUUAGAAAGUAAUCAUUCAGUUCACAUGACUAUCAUCAUUAACAUCAUUAUCAUUGUUAUAACUUGUUAUAUUUGUCAUGGCCUUUAAGUGUAUAUAACAUUUAUUUGAUGUUUUGAAACCCAUUUUCUGUCAAUAUGUAAAGCAAUAUCUACAGAUGUAAAACAAAAGGUGUUCUGACCUCAACAUUACUUCAACGUUACAAUCACUUCAGCCCCCCCAAAACAAGAUCCAAAAUGGACCUUAACCAAAUUUGUGAUUUACAUUGUGAUCUUCUAGCAUUAUAUUAACUGUUUUAUAUAAUAAUAGUAUUUAGGCAAUUAGCAGACGCUCUUAUCCAGAGU